UCGCCGCCGCCACACUCCACCUCCCACCUCGGGAUCUCCUCCCGAUCCGAAUUCUCUCCGACCAAGUCCCUUGUUUUCCGCCGCCACCCAAUCCAUCCAUCCAGCCUGCAGCAGUGCCUCCCCUAGGUGGCUCGAUCCCCAGCAAGCCUCAACAGAGCUCUGCAGCCCUCGCCGAGCUCCUUGAGCCCCGCCCGGAGCAGCCAAGCCGCCGGAGCUCCAUUCCCUCCGCGUCCACUCCAUCCCCUGCCUCGCAUGCCUCCUCUUCGCAGCCCCCUCGCCGAGCUCUGCCGUCCUUAGCGUGGAAGCCGACGACACUGCAACCACCAUGGCGCUCGGCCUUGUGCAGUUUCACCAGGCCAUUUCCCCGUGCCCAGAUGCUCCACCGCCGCCUUGCUCCGUACCCGCCACAGAUGAGCAGCGCACAGCCCCUUUUCCUUCUCCGGUCGUCCUCGUUCUCUCAACUCCAUCUCUCUGCUUUUCUAAAGGAAGGUCGCUCAUGCAGCCAUGGGCACCACAAGCGGAGGAUUGCCUUGCCACCCUCGUAACCACGGCCUCGCCUUCGUGCCUCCGAUGACCGGCCUCGUCGUCGCCGCCAACCCCAGUUAACAGCAGCCUCCUUCAAGUUCGCCGCCUUGAGCUCCUGCCUCGACUACUCGUGCGUGGAUCCGUUCGCCCUCGCUCCGUUCCCGCGGGAUCUGGCGUGAUCCAGCCGGAAGGAGCCCCGCCGCGGUGACCCCCUGCUUCCUGUCGCCAUGGCGCCACUGCAGUUCUUCUGCAGUUAGAUGCAGCAGCGCUGCAUCAAGCGCACGCCCGCGCCGCCGCGUUGACCUCCUCCCCACCUGCCAGAUCCGGCCUGCCCGGCCUCCUCCCCAUCAGCUGGGCCUUGGCCCAGGCUUCGGUUUCGUUUCGGAGUGUGAGGAUUCGUUCGACUACGUCCGCUUGUCUUCUUC